rnacentral:rRNA from 1 species
AUUGAACGCUGGCGGCAGGCCUAACACAUGCAAGUCGAGCGGAAACGACAACAUUGACCCUUCGGGUGAUUUGUUGGGCGUCGAGCGGCGGACGGGUGAGUAAUGCCUGGGAAAUUGCCCUGAUGUGGGGGAUAACUAUUGGAAACGAUAGCUAAUACCGCAUAACGUCUACGGACCAAAGAGGGGGACCUUCGGGCCUCUCGCUUCAGGAUAUGCCCAGGUGGGAUUAGCUAGUUGGUGAGGUAAUGGCUCACCAAGGCGACGAUCCCUAGCUGGUCUGAGAGGAUGAUCAGCCACACUGGAACUGAGACACGGUCCAGACUCCUACGGGAGGCAGCAGUGGGGAAUAUUGCACAAUGGGCGCAAGCCUGAUGCAGCCAUGCCGCGUGUAUGAAGAAGGCCUCGGUUGUAAGUACUUUCUAGUCGUGUAGGAAGGACGAUAUAAGUUAAAUUAAGACUUAAUGUGUUUGUACGUUAGUCGUACAGAAGAA